GUUGUAUGGUUAAGUGACUAAGCGUACACGGUGGAUGCCUGGGCAGUCAGAGGCGAUGAAGGACGUACUAACUUGCGAUAAGCGCAGAUAAGGCAGUAAGAGCCGUUUGAGUCUGCGAUUUCCGAAUGGGGAAACCCAACUGCAUAAGCAGUUACUGUUAACUGAAUACAUAGGUUAACAGAGCAAACCGGGGGAACUGAAACAUCUAAGUACCCCGAGGAGAAGAAAUCAACCGAGAUUCCGGUAGUAGCGGCGAGCGAACCUGGAUUAGCCCUUAAGCACUCGGUGAAGUAGGUGAACAAGCUGGAAAGCUUGGCGAUACAGGGUGAUAGCCCCGUAACCGACGCUUCAUCGAGCGUGAAAUCGAGUAGGGCGGGACACGUGAUAUCCUGUCUGAAUAUGGGGGGACCAUCCUCCAAGGCUAAAUACUCCUGACUGACCGAUAGUGAACCAGUACCGUGAGGGAAAGGCGAAAAGAACCCCUGUGAGGGGAGUGAAAUAGAACCUGAAACCGUGUACGUACAAGCAGUAGGAGCACCUUCGUGGUGUGACUGCGUACCUUUUGUAUAAUGGGUCAGCGACUUAUAUUCAGUGGCAAGGUUAACCGUAUAGGGGAGCCGUAGCGAAAGCGAGUCUUAACUGGGCGCUCAGUCUCUGGAUAUAGACCCGAAACCGGGUGAUCUAGCCAUGGGCAGGUUGAAGGUUGAGUAACAUCAACUGGAGGACCGAACCGACUAAUGUUGAAAAAUUAGCGGAUGACUUGUGGCUAGGGGUGAAAGGCCAAUCAAA
rnacentral:rRNA from 1 species